GUAAUACAUCGGAACGUACCCAGUAGCGGGGGAUAGCCCGGCGAAAGCCGGAUUAAUACCGCAUACGCCCUACGGGGGAAAGGGGGGGAUCGUAAGACCUCUCACUAUUGGAGCGGCCGAUGGCUGAUUAGCUAGUUGGUGGGGUAAAGGCCUACCAAGGCAACGAUCAGUAGCUGGUCUGAGAGGACGACCAGCCACACUGGGACUGAGACACGGCCCAGACUCCUACGGGAGGCAGCAGUGGGGAAUUUUGGACAAUGGGCGAAAGCCUGAUCCAGCAAUGCCGCGUGUGCGAAGAAGGCCUUCGGGUCGUAAAGCACUUUUGUCAGGGAAGAAAUCGUUCGGGCUAAUACCUCGGGCAGUUGACGGUACCUGAAGAAUAAGCACCGGCUAACUACGUGCCAGCAGCCGCGGUAAUACGUAGGGUGCAAGCGUUAAUCGGAAUUACUGGGCGUAAAGCGUGCGCAGGUGGUUCGUUAAGACAGUUGUGAAAUCCCCGGGCUUAACCUGGGAACUGCAAUUGUGACUGGCGGACUAGAGUUUGGCAGAGGGGGGUGGAAUUCCUGGUGUAGCAGUGAAAUGCGUAGAUAUCAGGAGGAACACCGAUGGCGAAGGCAGCCCCCUGGGCCAUGACUGACACUCAUGCA
rnacentral:rRNA from 1 species